rnacentral:rRNA from 1 species
UACGUAGGGGGCAAGCGUUGUCCGGAUUUAUUGGGCGUAAAGAGCGUGUAGGCGGCCAAGCAGGUCCGCUGUGAAAACUCGAGGCUCAACCUCGAGACGUCGGUGGAAACCGUUUGGCUAGAGUCCGGAAGAGGAGAGUGGAAUUCCCGGUGUAGCGGUGAAAUGCGCAGAUAUCAGGAGGAACACCGGUGGCGAAGGCGGGUCUCUGGGCCGAUACUGACGCUGAGGAGCGAAAGCAUGGGUAGCGAACAGG